UACGGAGGAUCCAAGCGUUAUCCGGAAUUAUUGGGCGUAAAGAGCUCGUAGGCGGUCUGUCACGUCGGCUGUGAAAACCCGGGGCUCAACCCCGGGCCUGCAGUCGAUACGGGCAGACUAGAGUGCGGUAGGGGAGACUGGAAUUCCUGGUGUAGCGGUGAAAUGCGCAGAUAUCAGGAGGAACACCGGUGGCGAAGGCGGGUCUCUGGGCCGUAACUGACGCUGAGGAGCGAAAGCGUGGGGAGCGAACAGG
rnacentral:rRNA from 1 species